rnacentral:rRNA from 1 species
UACAGAGGGUGCGAGCGUUAAUCGGAAUUACUGGGCGUAAAGCGCGCGUAGGCGGCUUUGCAAGUCGGGUGUGAAAUCCCCAGGCUUAACCUGGGAACUGCAUCUGUGACUGCAUCGCUGGAGUGCGGCAGAGGGGGAUGGAAUUCCGCGUGUAGCAGUGAAAUGCGUAGAUAUGCGGAGGAACACCGGUGGCGAAGGCGGUUCUCUGGGCCUGUACUGACGCUGAGGAGCGAAAGCGUGGGGAGCGAACAGG